GUCCCUUCGUGGACAUUCGAUAAAAUUGAAACGAUGCAUAGAAGAUUAGCAUGAUCCCUGCGCAAAGAUGACAAGCACAAAUCGAGAACAAACAUUAUGGCUU